rnacentral:rRNA from 1 species
CCUCCAAGGCUAAAUACUCCUGACUGACCGAUAGUGAACCAGUACCGUGAGGGAAAGGCGAAAAGAACCCCGGCGAGGGGAGUGAAAAAGAACCUGAAACCGUGUACGUACAAGCAGUGGGAGCCUCUUAAUGGGGUGACUGCGUACCUUUUGUAUAAUGGGUCAGCGACUUAUAUUCUGUAGCAAGGUUAACCGAAUAGGGGAGCCGAAGGGAAACCGAGUCUUAACUGGGCGUUAAGUUGCAGGGUAUAGACCCGAAACCCGGUGAUCUAGCCAUGGGCAGGUUGAAGGUUGGGUAACACUAACUGGAGGACCGAACCGACUAAUGUUGAAAAAUUAGCGGAUGACUUGUGGCUGGGGGUGAAAGGCCAAUCAAACCGGGAGAUAGCUGGUUCUCCCCGAAAGCUAUUUAGGUAGCGCCUCGUGAAUUCAUCUCCGGGGGUAGAGCACUGUUUCGGCAAGGGGGUCAUCCCGACUUACCAACCCGAUGCAAACUGCGAAUACCGGAGAAUGUUAUCACGGGAGACACACGGCGGGUGCUAACGUCCGUCGUGAAGAGGGAAACAACCCAGACCGCCAGCUAAGGUCCCAAAGUCAUGGUUAAGUGGGAAACGAUGUGGGAAGGCCCAGACAGCCAGGAUGUUGGCUUAGAAGCAGCCAUCAUUUAAAGAAAGCGUAAUAGCUCACUGGUCGAGUCGGCCUGCGCGGAAGAUGUAACGGGGCUAAACCAUGCACCGAAGCUGCGGCAGCGACACUAUGUGUUGUUGGGUAGGGGAGCGUUCUGUAAGCCUGUGAAGGUGUACUGUGAGGUAUGCUGGAGGUAUCAGAAGUGCGAAUGCUGACAUAAGUAACGAUAAAGCGGGUGAAAAGCCCGCUCGCCGGAAGACCAAGGGUUCCUGUCCAACGUUAAUCGGGGCAGGGUGAGUCGACCCCUAAGGCGAGGCCGAAAGGCGUAGUCGAUGGGAAACAGGUUAAUAUUCCUGUACUUGGUGUUACUGCGAAGGGGGGACGGAGAAGGCUAUGUUGGCCGGGCGACGGUUGUCCCGGUUUAAGCGUGUAGGCUGGUUUUCCAGGCAAAUCCGGAAAAUCAAGGCUGAGGCGUGAUGACGAGGCACUACGGUGCUGAAGCGACAAAUGCCCUGCUUCCAGGAAAAGCCUCUAAGCAUCAGGUAACAUCAAAUCGUACCCCAAACCGACACAGGUGGUCAGGUAGAGAAUACCAAGGCGCUUGAGAGAACUCGGGUGAAGGAACUAGGCAAAAUGGUGCCGUAACUUCGGGAGAAGGCACGCUGAUAUGUAGGUGAAGCGACUUGCUCGUGGAGCUGAAAUCAGUCGAAGAUACCAGCUGGCUGCAACUGUUUAUUAAAAACACAGCACUGUGCAAACACGAAAGUGGACGUAUACGGUGUGACGCCUGCCCGGUGCCGGAAGGUUAAUUGAUGGGGUUAGCGGUAACGCGAAGCUCUUGAUCGAAGCCCCGGUAAACGGCGGCCGUAACUAUAACGGUCCUAAGGUAGCGAAAUUCCUUGUCGGGUAAGUUCCGACCUGCACGAAUGGCGUAAUGAUGGCCAGGCUGUCUCCACCCGAGACUCAGUGAAAUUGAACUCGCUGUGAAGAUGCAGUGUACCCGCGGCAAGACGGAAAGACCCCGUGAACCUUUACUAUAGCUUGACACUGAACAUUGAGCCUUGAUGUGUAGGAUAGGUGGGAGGCUUUGAAGUGUGGACGCCAGUCUGCAUGGAGCCGACCUUGAAAUACCACCCUUUAAUGUUUGAUGUUCUAACGUGGGCCCCUUACCGGGGUUGCGGACAGUGUCUGGUGGGUAGUUUGACUGGGGCGGUCUCCUCCUAAAGAGUAACGGAGGAGCACGAAGGUUGGCUAAUCCUGGUCGGACAUCAGGAGGUUAGUGCAAUGGCAUAAGCCAGCUUGACUGCGAGCGUGACGGCGCGAGCAGGUGCGAAAGCAGGUCAUAGUGAUCCGGUGGUUCUGAAUGGAAGGGCCAUCGCUCAACGGAUAAAAGGUACUCCGGGGAUAACAGGCUGAUACCGCCCAAGAGUUCAUAUCGACGGCGGUGUUUGGCACCUCGAUGUCGGCUCAUCACAUCCUGGGGCUGAAGUAGGUCCCAAGGGUAUGGCUGUUCGCCAUUUAAAGUGGUACGCGAGCUGGGUUUAGAACGUCGUGAGACAGUUCGGUCCCUAUCUGCCGUGGGCGCUGGAGAACUGAGGGGGGCUGCUCCUAGUACGAGAGGACCGGAGUGGACGCAUCACUGGUGUUCGGGUUGUCAUGCCAAUGGCACUGCCCGGUAGCUAAAUGCGGAAGAGAUAAGUGCUGAAAGCAUCUAAGCACGAAACUUGCCCCGAGAUGAGUUCUCCCUGACUCCUUGA